rnacentral:rRNA from 1 species
AAAAUCUUUCUUUAAUUGAAUAAUUGAAUUUAAUUUUUUAGUGCAAAAGCAAAAAUAAAAAUUAGGGACAAGAAGACCCUAUGAAUUUUUUAUUAAAUUUUAUAAAACUUUAUAUAAAAUUUAAUUUAAUUGGGGUGAUGGAAAAAGAAUAAAUAUCUUUUUUUUUAAAAAAAAUUGGUUCCGUUUUUAGCGAUUAAAUGAAAAAAAUACUCUAGGGAUAACAGCGUAAUAAUUUUGGAUAGUUCAUAUAGAUAAAAUAGUUUGCGACCUCGAUGU